rnacentral:misc_RNA from 1 species
UCUCCGUAGGUGAACCUGCGGAGGGAUCAUUCACAUGAUUUAUCUUUUAAACAAACCGUGAACUUUAAAACAAAAACUAUUCGUGUGUUGAAUUUAUUCUUCACACUGUCAUUCGAUCUGAACAUAAAGAUAGUUGGCUUGUUUUUUUUGAAUUGAAAUUUAUUUCAUUAAAACUUUCUCAGCUUGAUUCAUUGUGAAACUAAACACUUCAUAAUAAUCACCAAUAAACAUAGAAACAACUCUAUGUCCUGGAUAUCUUGGUUCUC